UCCCUGAUAGCUCAUUUGGUAAAGAAUCUGCCUGCAAUGCAGGAGACCCAGGUUCGAUUUCUGGGGUGGGAU
rnacentral:tRNA from 1 species